UACAGAGGUCUCAAGCGUUGUUCGGAUUCAUUGGGCGUAAAGGGUGCGUAGGCGGUGCGGUAAGUCGGGUGUGAAAUCUCGGAGCUUAACUCCGAAACUGCAUUCGAUACUGCCGUGCUUGAGGACUGGAGAGGAGACUGGAAUUUACGGUGUAGCGGUGAAAUGCGUAGAUAUCGUAAGGAAGACCAGUGGCGAAGACGGGUCUCUGGACAGUUCCUGACGCUGAGGAACGAAAGCUAGGGGAGCAAACAGG
rnacentral:rRNA from 1 species